rnacentral:lncRNA from 1 species
GGGAUCAAGGGAUGGAAUAAUCUCUUAAUCCCAAAGUUAUUUCCAAAUAUCUAAUUUGGGGGUGGAAUCUCACCCUACCCCAACCAAAUACUAUUUUCUAUUUAUAAUAAUCCACUAUCAUUCUUAUCCCAUCUUCUCCAACCAAAUACUAUUUUAUCUAUAUCUGGACUAAAUCCAAUUCUCAACUAAACACAAAAUUAUUCUAACCCCACCUUAACCCUGAACUUAACCCUAUUCAUGUAAUAAUAAGUUUUUACUUAAUUCCGAACCAAAUGGUAUAUAAACAGAGCAGGUUUAACUGGUACUAAACGGAUAUGAUUUCGGUUAUAAACAUAAGGAACAAAAAUUCGAUAAAUUCGAGUUCGAUUAUGGCAUUUGUCUGUAAUCAAUCCGAACCUGAAUUUGAAACUAAACACGUAUAAAACCUAUUAUAUAUAUAAUAAACUUUCUUAGACAUUUACUUUAAUAAUUAAUAUAUAUU